ACCUGUCACUACAGACUUGCAGAAUCCCAGAACUAUUAGUGUCAGAGCAACUGUUCCCCUUUCUUUUUUUUUUUUUCUUCAGAUUUUUCACCUAUAUUUUCCUUUUUAUUAUUUAAAAAAAUUUAUUAAAAGUAUACUUGAUUUACAAUGUCAUGCCAAUUUCUACAAUAUAGCAAAGUGACCCAGUCAUACAUACAUAAAUAUAUAUAUACAUAUAUAUAUAAAUUGUUGUGCAAUACUUUGUAAGUUGCAGGUUAGUCACAAGUUUUAAAGGUUAUACUCCACUUAUGUGACCCAGUCAUACACACACGCACACACACACAUACACACACACACAUAUAAACUGUUGUACAAUAUUUUGUAAGUUGCAGGUUAGUCACAAGUUUUAAAGGUUAUACUCCACUUACAGUUAUUAUAAAUAGUGGCUAUAUUCCCUGUGUUGUACAAUACAUCUUUGUGGCUUAUUUUAUAUCUAAUCAUUUGUACUUUUUACUCCCCUUCCCCAAUGUUGCCCCCUCCCCUCCACCAACUGGUAACCACUAGUUUAUUCUCCAUAUCUGUGAGUCUGCUUCUUUCUUGUUAUAUUCACUAGUGUGUUGUAUUUUUUAGAUUCCUCAUAUACAUGAUAUCAUACAAUAUUUGUCUUCCUCUGACUUAUUUCACUUAGCACAAUCCACUCUGAGUCUACCCAUGUUGCUUCAAAUGGCAAAAAAAAAUUGUUCCUUUUUCUGGCUGAGUCAUAUUCUACUAUAUAUGUGUGUGUGUGUGUGUGUACAUAUAGAAGUGCUACACAUAUAGAAGUGCUACAGAGGGUGAUCCUGCUAGCUGUUCUGUCCUUUGUGUCCCCCAAAGUGCAACCUGUAUCUUACUCACCUUUAACAGUGAGAAUCUGCCUCCUUUCUUGGCACAUUUUGAUAGGGUUUAAUAUUUUUGUGUAUAAAUGCUCAAAUUCACUUCAAAACACAUCUACUAGAGGAAGAUGAUUAUUCUUGCCUAUGGUGGAUGGAAAUAGCCUUUUAAUUUUGUCUUUUGGAUUUUUCAUUGGCUGAUAUUCUUGGAGGAAGUUUUUCCAGUGAAGAUAGAAUGUAUUUAAGAAUACAUAGUAGACCCAAGGUAAUCUACAGAUUCAGUGCAAUCUCUAUCAAAUUACCAAGGACAUUUUUCACAGAAAUAGAACAAAAUAUUUAAGAGUUUGUUUGGAAGCACAAAAGACCCAGAAUAGAAAA
rnacentral:lncRNA from 1 species